UUUUGCCUCACCUCUGCGCUCUUGGGUGAGAUUUAGGGAGAACAGGAAGGAGAGGGAUGAUGAGGUUCCGAUUUUGUUAGAUCAAAAAGGUAUUAGGGUGAUUAGCGUGAUCUUCUCUGUUUCUUUCUGUGUUCAUUCUUGGCUGGCGUUUUCGGAUCUAGAGAUUCUUCAGUGUGUGAUUGAUUUGGGGUAGGAGAGGCAGAGUGUUUGUGGAGGAAAUGGAAGAAGAAUUGACAGCGAAAGAUUAACGACAACAGAGCCUUCUGUUACAGCCAAUGGGCGGUGCUUCAAGCUUAUAUCCUCAAAGGGUCUAUUAGCAGAAUACCAGAAGAGUUCAGGGACGAGAA